rnacentral:rRNA from 1 species
UACGAAGGGGGCUAGCGUUGCUCGGAAUUACUGGGCGUAAAGCGCACGUAGGCGGUCUUUUAAGUCGGGGGUGAAAUCCUGGAGCUCAACUCCAGAACUGCCUUCGAUACUGGAAGACUCGAGUCCGGGAGAGGUGAGUGGAACUGCGAGUGUAGAGGUGAAAUUCGUAGAUAUUCGCAAGAACACCAGUGGCGAAGGCGGCUCACUGGCCCGGUACUGACGCUGAGGUGCGGAAAGCGUGGGGAGCAAACAGG